rnacentral:lncRNA from 1 species
AUGGCGUCCAGGAGGAGCAGCCGCGUGGACUCCCCACGCAGUGUCUGCAGAGAGCUGCCCCUCGCGGGUGGUGGUCAGGCCCCCGCCAGUGUCCCAGGCGGCGUCCAGGAGGAGCAGCCGCGUGGACUCCCCACGCAGUGUCUGCAGAGAGCUGCCCCUCGCGGGUGGUGGUCAGGCCCCCGCCAGUGUCCCAGGCGGCGUCCAGGAGGAGCAGCCGCGUGGACUCCCCACGCAGUGUCUGCAGAGAGCUGCCCCUCGCGGGUGGUGGUCAGGCCCCCGCCAGUGUCCCAGGCGGCGUCCAGGAGGAGCAGCCGCGUGGACUCCCCACGCAGUGUCUGCAGAGAGCUGCCCCUCGCGGGUGGUGGUCAGGCCCCCGCCAGUGUCCCAGGCGGCGUCCAGGAGGAGCAGCCGCGUGGACUCCCCACGCAGUGUCUGCAGAGAGCUGCCCCUCGCGGGUGGUGGUCAGGCCCCCGCCAGUGUCCCAGGCGGCGUCCAGGAGGAGCAGCCGCGUGGACUCCCCACGCAGUGUCUGCAGAGAGCUGCCCCUCGCGGGUGGUGGUCAGGCCCCCGCCAGUGUCCCAGGUGGCGUACGGGAGGAGCAGCCGCGUGGACUCCCCACGCAGUGUCUGCAGAGAGCUGCCCCUCGCGGGUGGUGAUCAGGCCCCCCCCACCCCGGUGCCCCAGGCUUCUGGACGGAGCUGCUGGCAGCCAUGCUCCGAGUGCUGGGCUGUGUGGCAGGUUCAGGCCGUUGUCACCCGUCUGUGGUGUCCACUGGCUGGGACACGGCACGCCUUUCUUGGCCGUCAUUGGGGAGGUGAGUGUGGGUGCAGCGCUGCCAGCCCCAGGGGUCGCUUGCUGCUCCACGCCCCUCCCCAGCCUGGUGGGUCAGCCGGUGGUGGUUUCCCGCAUCACCCCGGGAACUGGGCAGGCCAGGGGUGGAGGGAGUGGCCGCAGGCCUCCAGACGAAUGCUCACCAAGUUCACAUGGGUCCCCUCUGCAAGCUGUGCCAGCAGCAGUUUCCCUAAGGCCAUUGCCCAACAGCUCUUAUCAGGGCCAGGCUAUAAAGGGAUGAGAACACAAAUCUCAUUGUGUGUCUCAGGCAGGCUCUGGAUAAGGAAGUGA